CCAGCAUUCAGUUGGGCGACUCUAAGGGGACGUGCCGGUGAUAAGCCGAGAGGAAGGUGGGGAGUGACGUCAAGUCCUCAUGGCCUUACGGGCUGGGCUACACACGUGCUACAAUGGUGGUGACAGUGGGCAGCGAGACAGCGAUGUCGAGCUAAUCUCCAAAAGACCAUCUCAGUUCGGAUUGCACUCUGCAACUCGAGUGCAUGAAGUUGGAAUCGCUAGUAAUCGCGGAUCAGCAUGCCGCGGUGAAUACGUUCCCGGGCCUU
rnacentral:rRNA from 1 species